CGAGUAGGCGGCCUCCUAAGUCAGACGUGAAAUCCCCCGGCUUAACCUGGGAACUGCGUCUGAUACUGGGAAGCUUGAGUAUGGGAGAGGAAGGUAGAAUUCCAGGUGUAGCGGUGAAAUGCGUAGAUAUCUGGAGGAAUACCGGUGGCGAAGGCGGCCUUCUGGACCAUAACUGACGCUGAUCCGCGAAAGCUAGGGAGCAAACG
rnacentral:rRNA from 1 species